rnacentral:rRNA from 1 species
UACGUAGGGGGCUAGCGUGGUCCGGAAUCAUUGGGCGUAAAGAGCGCGUAGGCGGCCAGAUAAGUCCGGUGUGAAAGCCACAGGCUCAACCUGUGAAUGCCGCUGGAAACUGUCUGGCUAGAGUCCGGGAGGGGCGAGUGGAAUUCCUGGUGUAGCGGUGAAAUGCGCAGAUAUCAGGAGGAACACCAGUGGCGAAGGCGGCUCACUGGCCCGAUACUGACGCUGAGGCACGAAAGCGUGGGGAGCAAACAGG